UGGGGAAUAUUGGACAAUGGGGGGAACCCUGAUCCAGCAAUGCCGCGUGUGUGAAGAAGGCCUGAGGGUUGUAAAGCACUUUCAGUGGGGAGGAGGAGUGAGAGAUUAAGAGUCGCUUACUUGGACGUUACCCACAGAAGAAGCACCGGCUAACUCCGUGCCAGCAGCCGCGGUAAUACGGAGGGUGCGAGCGUUAAUCGGAAUUACUGGGCGUAAAGCGUGCGUAGGUGGUUAAUUAAGUUAUCUGUAAAAUCCCCGGGCUCAACCUGGGCAGGCCAGAUAAAACUGAAUAACUAGAGUAUUGGAGAGGGUAGUGGAAUUUCCGGUGUAGCGGUGAAAUGCGUAGAGAUCGGAAGGAACACCAGUGGCGAAGGCGGCUACCUGGCCAAAUACUGACACUGAGGCACGAAAGCGUGGGGAGCAAACAGG
rnacentral:rRNA from 1 species